AUUGAACGCUGGCGGCAGGCCUAACACAUGCAAGUCGAGCGAGCGGCGGACGGGUGAGUAAUGUAUGGGGAUCUGCCCGAUGGAGGGGGAUAACUACUGGAAACGGUGGCUAAUACCGCAUACUAUCGGAUGAACCCAGAUGGGAUUAGCUAGUAGGUGGGGUAACGGCUCACCUAGGCGACGAUCUCUAGCUGGUCUGAGAGGAUGAUCAGCCACACUGGAACUGAGACACGGUCCAGACUCGUACGGGAGGCAGCAGGGGGGAAUAUUGCACAAUGGGCGCCAGCCUGAUGCAGCCAUGCCGCGUGUAUGAAGAAGGCCUUCGGGUUGUAAAGUACUUUCAGCGGGGAGGCGUUACCCGCAGAAGAAGCACCGGCUAACUCCGUGCCAGCCGCCGCGGUAAUUC
rnacentral:rRNA from 1 species